AUCGACCCUUGGCACGCAUUGAGUGUCCUCAAGAACCAGUCCCGCUCCGAACUGGCACUUUUGAUCAACGGCACGGCCCACUGUGCCAACAUGAUGCCCUCCAGACCCACGGAUCCACUGCCCCUGGUCCAGGCCAGGAAGCGGAUCAGCGCUCAGGUUGGUGAAUGGCUGGAAUUGGCACAAAAGAUAACCGGAGGCCGCUGAGUGACCCAUCCGUACGACCGGAGUCUCUCUCUAGAAGAAAUCUACUUGGACUUGCCCCACCUAAGGGAGCAUCUUUGCAUCAUCUGAUUCCUCAGCCUUAGAGACUGCAGUUUUUAUUGCUUUUAUUUUUUUAAAAAAAAACCCUUUCAAAAUACAGAUUUUUUAAACAGUU